UAAACAAAAGCGAUAAACAUAAUUUCUUUAAUUAAUAUUUCAUAAUAAUUCUUACAAGAAUCAUAAAUCACACACACAUAACAUCACUUUUUAUUAUGCAGUGAUAAUUCAAGCUCAAAAGUACCAUAUUUUAACACAAGAUAAAACCAACCCCUAACACUAAAACACAACAAUCUAAUUUAUAAAUAAACUCAGAAAUUAAUUUUUCCAUAUUCUAAUAAUUAUCUUAAUUAACGAGGAC
rnacentral:lncRNA from 1 species